rnacentral:lncRNA from 10 species
GCCUAGUGGCCAGAUUUCUGGCACUUGAAGCAAGAUCCUGGGGGAGGAGGCCCUGGAGGAACACCUGGCUGCUGCGGUUUAGGCAUUCUGAAGUUCUUGUGUGCUGGAGAUGUGGCUGGGGUUUCUCUCACAGCGGAGAUUUGCAUUACAAGAAAGACUGACGGAUUUUAAACCACACCUAAAAGAAAAGAAGUGGUGGCGAAUAAAUUGUAGACUCUCCCAACUCAUCAUGUAGAUAUAUUAUACAAGCAAAUUACUAGCAGUCUUGGAGAAUAUUCAAUGAAUGCCUUUACAUGUUUGUAAGCAAAUAUAAAUUGUAUCAGAAUGUUGAGAGAUUGUAAUUAGUGGAAAUAACUAGCUGAAAUAAAAUUUUAAAUAACGUGUUUCUAAGAAGUUAAACAAUAGGCCUAAGACUUUUUUCACACAUUAUUAACCUCUAGGUAGAAGUGCUGUUAAUUAGUAGAAUAAUGUUCAAAGAAACAAUAAUAGGAUGAUACAAGAAAAUCCUUGCUAAUGAACACUGGCUUUGAUUUAUGUUUUUGCUCAGAGUUUUCCAAGAAAUAUGCACAUUUAUAAGAAAUUGUGGAUCACAUCAUUAUAUUUUCUUGAAUUAUUUGUGUCCUCUGUUAUCUCUCUGACAAUUCCAUGAAGCUCGAAAUUUACUUUAAAGAAAAAUAAUAUUACAUUUUGUAUUAACUCAAAAGGUUUCUCCCUGAGGUAAAUGAUGUUAUAUUCUGAAACGAACUAUAAGUAAUCUAGAUGCCUAUCUAGGAGAAUAUGAAAAGUUAGGUUCUGCGUUUUUCUACCACACAGCUUUAAUGCUUUCUCAUUAAACAAGCAAAGAUAGGUCCCUAUGGCAUGGCCCGUUACUAGUGUUGCCAGUUAUUAAUGUUAAAAAUAGAGCUAAUGUUAAAUUCAUUUAUUUUCUUAUGACAGUGGUCCCCCAUUAUCCCUGGGGGAUAUGUUCCAAGACCCUCAGUGGAUGCCUGAAACUGUAGGUAGGACCAAACCCUAUUUAUGCUAUGCUAUAUUUUUUUCCCAAACAUACAUACCUGGGCUAAAGCUGAAUUUGUUAAUUAGGCACAGUAAGAGAUUAACAACAAUAAUAAUGACAUAGAAAAAAUAUAACACCAUACUGUAAUAAAACUUACGUAAAUGUGGCCUCUCAAAAUAUCUUACUGUACUGCAGAUCUUAGACCCCUCAGUAUACAAUUUUUUUCCUUAUUAAAUUGAGAACUUUUGCCUUUUCACUUAAAGGAAGCACUUUGCAGCUUCUCUUUGGCAUAUCCAAAUUGCCAGUAUCACUACUCUUGCACUUUGAGGUCAUUAUAAAAUAAAAUACCGGUUAUUUGAAUACGAGCACUGCAAUACUGCCACAGUCAUUCUGAUGCCUGAGGUGGUUGACUAUCAAUCAAUGACUGACUAAUGGUUGGUAGUUUAGAUAGUGUGGGUACCCUGGACAAAGAGAUUAUUCAUGUGUCAAGUGGGAUGGAGGGGUACAGUGAGAGAUGUUUUUAAACUUAUGAAUUGUUUAUUUCUGGAAUUUUCUAUUUAAUGAUUUUGGAACUCCACUGAUCACAGGUAACUGAAACCAUGGAAAAUGAAACUGCAAAUAAUUAGGGACUACUAUAUUCAAAUGUUGUCCUUCAAAAAAUUCUCACCCUUCUCCCUCCCUUUGCCCCUUGCUUAUUCCUUCCUGCCCUUUCUUCUGUUGUCUACUUACUCAUCAAACACUUUUUGAACAGGGAACAAAGUAGACAUUGGUUAAAGAAGAGGUUAUAUAUUAACUCGUAUUUAUAGUCUCAUGGUCUGCAUUAGCUCUCUGAGUCUGAUCUCAGGUGUUUCCUAGUGAAAACAAAGUGCUACUCCCUGAUAAUCUUUCUGUGUCCUUUUGAAAAAGCAACACAUUUGCUCUCACCUAGCUUUAACUGUAAAAGAUAAGUUUUUUAACACUGUGGCAUUGAAAGUACUUUAGGUAUUUGGCAUUUCUUAGUAUUUGGGGAAAUAUUGACGAUUUCACUCAAAGAGUUUUGCUACUUAUAAUAUAGAUAGACAUAAUUAUUUCUUUUUUUUUUUUUUUUUUUUUUUUGAGACAGAGUUUUGCUCUUGUUAUCCAGGCUGGAGUGCAAUGGCUCAAUCUCGGCUCACUGCAACCUCUGCCUCCCGGAUUCAAGCAAUUCUUCUGUCUCAGCCUCCGAAGUAGCUGGGAUUACAGGCAUGGGCCACCACGCCCAGCUAAUUUUGUAUUUUUAGUAGGGACAGAGUUUUGCCAUGUUGGUCAGGCUGUUCUUGAACUCCCUACCUCAGGUGAUCCACCCGCCUUGGCCUCCCAAAGUGUUGGGAUUACAGGCAUGAGCCACCACGCCCGGCCUAACAUAAUGAUUUCAACAUCAAUUUUAACAAUGCAUUAAGUUCAGCUAUUUUCUAGUUUUGAGUAAAUGGAAAAUAUUAAUAAAUAACUUGGAGCUAAGCAAACUUUUCUAUUCUGUAAAUCAGGCAAAAGGUUAUUUUACAAUCUUUCUUGGACUAGCUUAAAUGUGAAGACUUAGCAUACUGGUGGGAAAAUAAUAAGGUUUUAUACAAGUUGAAUUUUUAAAAAUAUGCCAGGAGAUUUAAAAAACAUCUACAGAAAUACUAAAAGCUAAAUGGUAAAAUGAAAUACAUGCAUGUGAAUUGUUAUUUAUGUAAAUAAAGUUUAUCACACAAUAUAUGCAGCAAAUAUAGACUACACAUACAUUUCCAUGAUUUUUUCUCUCAGAACAAUCAUCUUGAUGUUCUUUCCAUUUCUAUCCUUGCAUAAUAAUUUAUUAACUAAAAGUCAUAAUGGGUGGUUUUCAUAUUCCAUGAGUAAACAUGAAGCUCAUCAUCUUCUUCCCUCU